CCUCCGUAUAGUUGUGGGUUUUUGUGUCCAACAUUUGAUCAUCCAUCUCAUUUAAAAUUAUUUUAUAAUUAGUAUUUUUAUUGUUAUUAGAUGAUAAAACCUGAAUAGUACUUUAUGCUUGACUUAUUUUUUUAAUUUUAUAAAUUUUUUAAAUAAGACGGGUAGUCAAAUGUUGGAUACAGAAACCCACAACUCCACUUAAA
rfam:Oryza punctata chromosome 8, whole genome shotgun sequence.